GACGAACGCUGGCGGCGUGCUUAACACAUGCAAGUCGAACGGAAAGGCCCUGCUUUUGUGGGGUGCUCGAGUGGCGAACGGGUGAGUAACACGUGAGUAACCUGCCCUUGACUUUGGGAUAACUUCAGGAAACUGGGGCUAAUACCGGAUAGGAGCUCCUGCUGCAUGGUGGGGGUUGGAAAGUUUCGGCGGUUGGGGAUGGACUCGCGGCUUAUCAGCUUGUUGGUGGGGUAGUGGCUUACCAAGGCUUUGACGGGUAGCCGGCCUGAGAGGGUGACCGGGGAGGGGGCGAGGGGGAGACGGCCCAGACGCGGGGGGGAGGGGGGAGAGGGGAAGAGGGGAAGAGGGGAGGGAGCGGGAGGCCGGAAGGCGGCGGGGGGGAGGACGGGGGCAGGGUGGUAACCCGGUUGUGGGGGGGAGGGGGAGGGGAGGAAGGAAAGGGGAAAAGAAGGAGCGGAUAACUAGGAGCCAGAGGCCGCGGUAAUAAUCGGAAGACAAAACGUAUGACC
rnacentral:rRNA from 1 species